rnacentral:lncRNA from 1 species
ACCGGAGAUGGUGGUCUGGCCACAUAGAGGGGAGCCAAGAGAGAGAAAAGGGGUGCUAUCCCUUGCUGCCAUGGCAAUGGCACCCCAAGCCAAAAGAAGGAAAGGAAGGAGGGAAGGGCUUUACCGACGGUGGCACUGAUGGUGACGGAUCAUGAAGGCGAUAGAGAACUCUGAUAGAAAGGAGCCAAUCAAACUUAGAAUAAAAGAAAAAUAAUAAGAGGAGAAUCGAUGGCUUUUGGAGAGAAAAAAGAUUUCGAGGAUGGCGGUGAUUGGCUAUGGUGGCUCGAUGGCUAUC